AGAGCGAACGCUGGCGGCAGGCCUAACACAUGCAAGUCGAGCGCCCGUAGCAAUACGGGAGCGGCAGACGGGAUAGUAACACGUGGGAACGCGCCCUUCGGUUCGGAAUAACUCAGGGAAACUUGAGCUAAUACCGGAUACGCCCUUACGGGGAAAGAUUUAUUGCCGAAGGAACGGCCCGCGUCCGAUUAGCUAGUUGGUGAGGUAAUGGCUCACCAAGGCGACGAUCGGUAGCUGGUCUGAGAGGAUGACCAGCAUCACUGGGACUGAGACACGGCCCAGACUCCUACGGGAGGCAGCAGUGGGGAAUAUUGGACAAUGGGCGCAAGCCUGGAUCCAGCCAUGCCGCGUGGAUGAUGAAGGCCUUAGGGUUGUAAAGUCCUUUUAACGGGGAAGAUAAUGACGGUACCGUAGAAUAGCCCCGGCUAACUUCGCGCCAGCAGCCGC
rnacentral:rRNA from 1 species